rnacentral:ncRNA from 1 species
CGCAAAGGUUUCCUCGGGCCAGACGGACAUUGGUCCUCGAGUGCAAAGGCAGAAGGGAGCUUGACUGCAAGACUCACCCGUCGAGCAGAGAUGAAAGUCGGCCUUAGUGAUCCGACGGUGCCGAGUGGAAGGGCCGUCGCUCAA